rnacentral:rRNA from 1 species
UAUUUAGGUAGUGCCUCAAGUAUCACCAUCGGGGGUAGAGCACUGUUAUGGCUAGGGGGUCAUUGCGACUUACCAAACCAUUGCAAACUCCGAAUACCGAUGAGUGCGAGCUUGGGAGACAGACGUCGGGUGCUAACGUCCGGCGUCAAGAGGGAAACAACCCAGACCGCCAGCUAAGGUCCCAAAGAUUGGCUAAGUGGAAAACGAAGUGGGAAGGCUAAAACAGUCAGGAUGUUGGCUUAGAAGCAGCCAUCAUUUAAAGAAAGCGUAAUAGCUCACUGAUCGAGUCGUCCUGCGCGGAAGAUGUAACGGGGCUAAGCCAGUCACCGAAGCUGCGGAUAUUGUUCUGUGAUUUAUCACAGAUAUAUAUGGUAGGAGAGCGUUCUGUAAGCCUGCGAAGGUGUCUUGUAAAGGAUGCUGGAGGUAUCAGAAGUGCGAAUGCUGACAUGAGUAGCGAUAAUGGGGGUGAAAAGCCUCCACGCCGUAAGCCCAAGGUUUCCUGUUCAACGUUCAUCGGAGCAGGGUGAGUCGGCCCCUAAGGCGAGGCAGAGAUGCGUAGCUGAUGGGAAGCAGGUUAAUAUUCCUGCACCGUCGUAUGAUGCGAUGGGGGGACGGAUCGCGGAAGGUUGUCCAACUGUUGGAAUAGUUGGUUUUUGGCUCAUAGAAGGCACUUAGGCAAAUCCGGGUGCGCAAUUCAAGGGGUUGAGACGAGUGCACUUGUGCAUGAAGCAAUCGGAAGUGGUUCCAAGAAAAGCCUCUAAGCUUCAGUCAUACGAGACCGUACCGCAAACCGACACAGGUGGGCGAGAUGAGUAUUCUAAGGCGCUUGAGAGAACUCGGGAGAAGGAACUCGGCAAAUUGGUACCGUAACUUCGGGAAAAGGUACGCCCCGGUAGCUUGACUGGUUUACUCCAGAAGGGUGAAAGGGUUGCAAUAAACUGGUG